UAUUUUUUUAACAUAUCAGGAAGUUGAAUUGGCAGUGAAGAAAGAAGUAGGAAGUUGAAAGCCAACAUUGCCUAUAACCAAAACUCAUAAAACCCAUAUCGUGCUUCUUUCUUCAUUGCCAAAUUGACUUCCUGAUAUGUUAAAAGAAAU
rfam:Gossypium raimondii Chr07_contig_1026, whole genome shotgun sequence.